GACGAACGCUGGCGGCGUGCUUAACACAUGCAAGUCGAACGGAAAGGCCCUGCUUUUGUGGGGUGCUCGAGUGGCGAACGGGUGAGUAACACGUGAGUAACCUGCCCUUGACUUUGGGAUAACUUCAGGAAACUGGGGCUAAUACCGGAUAGGAGCUCCUGCUGCAUGGUGGGGGUUGGAAAGUUUCGGCGGUUGGGGAUGGACUCGCGGCUUAUCAGCUUGUUGGUGGGGUAGUGGCUUACCAAGGCUUUGACGGGUAGCCGGCCUGGGAGGGUGACCGGCCACCUUGGGCCUGAGAUACGGCCCAGACUCCUACGGGAGGCAGCGGUGGGGAAUAUUGCACAAUGGGCGGAAGCCUGAUGCAGCAACGCCGCGUGCGGGAUGACGGCCUUCGGGUUGUGAACCGCUUUCGCCUGUGACGAAGCGUGAGUGACGGUAAUGGGUAAAGAAGCACCGGCUAACUACGUG
rnacentral:rRNA from 1 species